GCCUAGUUAGCUUGGUUGGUAGCGCGUCUGCCUUGUAAGCGCUAGGCCGCGGGUUCGAUUCUCGCCCGGGGCG
rfam:Asian citrus Psyllid, Diaphorina citri - Florida Strain, whole genome shotgun sequence.